AGUUUGAUCCUGGCUCAGGAUGAACUCUGGCGGCGUGCCUAACGCAUGUAAGUCAAACGGGCUUAUCAUGAAACCUAGUGAUUGUUUAGUUAAUGGCGGACGGAUGAGUAACGCGUGUAUAACAUGCCGUAUGCAUGGGGAUAACAGUUGGAAACGUCUGCUAAUACCGAAUAAGCGCACAGUACCUCAUGGUGCGGUGCUAAAGGAUUUAUCUGCUUACCAUGGAUCCCCGUCCUAUUAACCAGUUGGCUGGGUAACGGCCCACCAAAACUACUAUCGGCAACCGGCCUGAGAUGGCCGACGGCCACACUGGGAGUUAGACACGGCCCAAACUCUUAUAGGAGAGCAACCGUGGGGAAUAUUGCACAAUGGGGGAAACCCUGAGUCAGAGACGUCCGCGUGGGUGAGGAGAGUACUUCAGUAGGUAAAGCCUUAUCAGCAGGGAAGAAAAUGGCGGUACCUGAUUAAGAAGCCCCGGCUUACUUUGUGUCCAGCAGCCGCGGUAAUUAGUAGGGGGCAAGCGUUAUCUGGAUUUCCUGGGUGUAAAGGGAGGGUAGGCGGCAUUGCAAGUUCGGAGGAGAAGCCCACGGCCCAACCGUGGGAAUGCUCUGGAAUCUGUAGAGGUGGAGUGUGGGAGGGGCAGGGGGAAUUCCUAAUGUAGCAGUGAAAUGUGUAGAUAUUAGGAGGAACACCGGCGGGGAAGGCGGCCCGCUGGACCCUAUACUGACGUUGAGGCUCGAAAAGCGUGGGGAGCAAACAGAAUUAGAUACCACGGUAGUUCACGCCGUAAGCGAUGAUUACUAGGUGUCGCGGUACGAAGUACUGCGGUGCCGGCGCAAACGCAAUAAGUAAUCCACCUGGGGAGUACGUUCGCAAGAAUGAAACUCAAAGGAAUUGACGGGGACCCGCACAAGCGGUGGAGCAUGUGGUUUAAUUCGAAGCAACGCGAAGAACCUUACCUGGCCUUGACAUCCUCCCGGAUGCAGGGUAAUGCCUGCAGCCCUUCGGGGCGGGAGAGACAGGUGGUGCAUGGUUGUCGUCAGCUCGUGUCGUGAGAUGUUGGGUUAAGUCCCGCAACGAGCGCAACCCCUGCCGUCAGUAGCCAGCAGGUAAAGCUGGGCACUCUGAUGGGACAGCCUGGGAUAACCAGGAGGAAGGCGGGGAUGACGUCAAAUCAUCAUGCCCCUUAUGCCCAGGGCUACACACGUGCUACAAUGGCGCAAACAGAGGGAAGCGACGCAGCGACGCCAAGCAAAGCCCAAAAACAGCGCUUCAGUUCGGAUCGCAGCGUGCAACUCGGGGACACGAAGCUGGAAUAGAUAGUAAUCGCGAAUCAGAAUGUGGCGGUGAAUAAGUUCCCGGGUC
rnacentral:rRNA from 1 species